rnacentral:rRNA from 1 species
GGGUUGUGAGGUUAAGCGACUAAGCGUACACGGUGGAUGCCCUGGCAGUCAGAGGCGAUGAAGGACGUGCUAAUCUGCGAAAAGCGUCGGUAAGGUGAUAUGAACCGUUAUAACCGGCGAUGUCCGAAUGGGGAAACCCAGUGCUAUUCGUUGCACUAUCGUUAACUGAAUACAUAGGUUAACGAGGCGAACCGGGGGAACUGAAACAUCUAAGUACCCCGAGGAAAAGAAAUCAACCGAGAUUCCCCCAGUAGCGGCGAGCGAACGGGGAGCAGCCCAGAGUCUGAAUCAGCUUGUGUGUUAGUGGAACGGUCUGGAAAGUCCGACGGUACAGGGUGAUAGUCCCGUACACCAAAAUGCACAGGUUGUGAACUCGAAGAGUAGGGCGGGACACGUGGUAUCCUGUCUGAAUAUGGGGGGACCAUCCUCCAAGGCUAAAUACUCCUGACUGACCGAUAGUGAACCAGUACCGUGAGGGAAAGGCGAAAAGAACCCCGGCGAGGGGAGUGAAAAAGAACCUGAAACCGUGUACGUACAAGCAGUGGGAGCACCUUCGGGUGUGACUGCGUACCUUUUGUAUAAUGGGUCAGCGACUUAUAUUCUGUAGCAAGGUUAACCGUAUAGGGGAGCCGCAGGGAAACCGAGUCUUAACUGGGCGUUAAGUUGCAGGGUAUAGACCCGAAACCCGGUGAUCUAGCCAUGGGCAGGUUGAAGGUUGGGUAACACUAACUGGAGGACCGAACCGACUAAUGUUGAAAAAUUAGCGGAUGACUUGUGGCUGGGGGUGAAAGGCCAAUCAAACCGGGAGAUAGCUGGUUCUCCCCGAAAGCUAUUUAGGUAGCGCCUCGUGAACUCAUCUUCGGGGGUAGAGCACUGUUUCGGCUAGGGGGUCAUCCCGACUUACCAACCCGAUGCAAACUACGAAUACCGAAGAAUGUUAUCACGGGAGACACACGGCGGGUGCUAACGUCCGUCGUGAAGAGGGAAACAACCCAGACCGCCAGCUAAGGUCCCAAAGUCAUGGUUAAGUGGGAAACGAUGUGGGAAGGCACAGACAGCCAGGAUGUUGGCUUAGAAGCAGCCAUCAUUUAAAGAAAGCGUAAUAGCUCACUGGUCGAGUCGGCCUGCGCGGAAGAUGUAACGGGGCUAAACCAUGCACCGAAGCUGCGGCAGCGACACUAUGUGUUGUUGGGUAGGGGAGCGUUCUGUAAGCCUGCGAAGGUGACCUGUGAGGGUUGCUGGAGGUAUCAGAAGUGCGAAUGCUGACAUAAGUAACGAUAAAGCGGGUGAAAAGCCCGCUCGCCGGAAGACCAAGGGUUCCUGUCCAACGUUAAUCGGGGCAGGGUGAGUCGACCCCUAAGGCGAGGCCGAAAGGCGUAGUCGAUGGGAAACAGGUUAAUAUUCCUGUACUUGGUGUUACUGCGAAGGGGGGACGGAGAAGGCUAUGUUAGCCGGGCGACGGUUGUCCCGGUUUAAGCAUGUAGGCUGGUUGUCCAGGCAAAUCCGGAUAAUCAAGGCUGAGGUGUGAUGACGAGGCACUACGGUGCUGAAGUAACAAAUGCCCUGCUUCCAGGAAAAGCCUCUAAGCAUCAGGUAACAU